rnacentral:rRNA from 1 species
GGAAAAGAAACCAACAGGGAUUGCUCUAGUAACGGCGAGUGAAGCAGCAAUAGCUCAAAUUUGAAAUCUGGCGUCUUCGACGUCCGAGUUGUAAUUUGUAGAGGAUGCUUCUGAGUAACCACCGACCUAAGUGCCUUGGAACAGGACGUCAUAGAGGGUGAGAAUCCCGUAUGCGGUCGGAAAGUGCUCUACACGUAGCUCCUUUGACGAUUCGAGUUUUUUGGGAAUGCAGCUCUAAAUGGGAGGUAAAUUUCUUCUAAAGCUAAAUAUGGGCCAGAGACCGAUAGCGCACAAGUAGAGUGAUCUGAAAGAUGAAAAGCAUCUUUGGAAAGAGAUGUUAAAAAGCACGUGAAAUUUGUUAAAAGGGAAGGGAUUGCAACCAGACUUGCUCGCGGUGUUCCGCCGGUCUUCUGACCGGUCUACUCGCCGCGUUGCAGGCCAGCAUCGUCUGGUGCCGCUGGAUAAGACUUGAGGAAUGUAGCUCCCUCGGGAGUGUUAUAGCCUCUUGUGAUGCAGCGAGCGCCGGGCGAGGUCCGCGCUUCGGCUAGGAUGCUGGCGUAAUGGUCGUAAUCCGCCCGUCU